rnacentral:piRNA from 1 species
UUGGCAUUGUGGAAGGACUCAUGA